GGUUUUGUGGUGUAGUUGGUUGUUACGUCAGUCUAACACACUGGUGAUUCCCGGUUCGAGCCUGGCCGAAAUCA